UAGCCGGAACUUAUUCGCGGCGCGCCAUGCGCUUAAUUGGGAAUCCGGUGCGAGUCCGGAGCGGUCCCGCCGCUGUAAGCCCUGAUCACCUGACCACCACGAUCAUGCCUUGGGUCAACCAUGCCACUGCCUGCGGGCGGGAAGGCGGCCCAAGGUGGGGCGAGCCAGAAGACCAACCGCGAAACGGCCCAAGGU
rnacentral:ncRNA from 2 species